rnacentral:rRNA from 1 species
CCUACGGGAGGCAGCAGUAGGGAAUCUUCGGCAAUGGGCGAAAGCCUGACCGAGCAACGCCGCGUGAGCGAUGAAGGCCUUCGGGUCGUAAAGCUCUGUUGUUAGGGAAGAACAAGUAUCAGCCGAAUAAGCUGGUACCUUGACGGUACCUAACGAGAAAGCCACGGCUAACUACGUGCCAGCAGCCGCGGUAAUACGUAGGUGGCAAGCGUUAUCCGGAAUUAUUGGGCGUAAAGCGCGCGCAGGCGGUCCUUUAAGUCUGAUGUGAAAGCCCACGGCUCAACCGUGGAGGGUCAUUGGAAACUGGGGGACUUGAGUGCAGAAGAGGAAAGCGGAAUUCCACGUGUAGCGGUGAAAUGCGUAGAGAUGUGGAGGAACACCAGUGGCGAAGGCGGCUUUCUGGUCUGUAACUGACGCUGAGGCGCGAAAGCGUGGGGAGCAAACAGGAUUAGAUACCCUGGUAGUCCACGCCGUAAACGAUGAGUGCUAAGUGUUAGGGGGUUUCCGCCCCUUAGUGCUGCAGCUAACGCAUUAAGCACUCCGCCUGGGGAGUACGGCCGCAAGGCUGAAACUCAAAGGAAUUGACGG